UGGUAAAUGCUGCGGGCCAAAAGUGUCUUGAAAACACUUAGUGGGGGUUCGCGACCCCCUUUACUAA
rnacentral:tRNA from 1 species